AUUGAACGCUGGCGGCAGGCCUAACACAUGCAAGUCGAGCGGAUGAAGGGAGCUUGCUCCUGGAUUCAGCGGCGGACGGGUGAGUAAUGCCUAGGAAUCUGCCUGGUAGUGGGGGAUAACGUCCGGAAACGGGCGCUAAUACCGCAUACGUCCUGAGGGAGAAAGUGGGGGAUCUUCGGACCUCACGCUAUCAGAUGAGCCUAGGUCGGAUUAGCUAGUUGGUGGGGUAAAGGCCUACCAAGGCGACGAUCCGUAACUGGUCUGAGAGGAUGAUCAGUCACACUGGAACUGAGACACGGUCCAGACUCCUACGGGAGGCAGCAGUGGGGAAUGUUGGACAAUGGGCGAAAGCCUGAUCCAGCCGUGCCGCGUGUGUGAAGAAGGUCUUCGGAUUGUAAAGCACUUUAAGUUGGGAGGAAGGGCAGUAAGUUAAUACCUUGCUGUUUUGACGUUACCAACAGAAUAAGCACCGGCUAACUUCGUG
rnacentral:rRNA from 1 species